GAUGAACGCUGGCGGCGUGCCUAAUACAUGCAAGUCGAGCGAACGGACGAGAAGCUUGCUUCUCUGAUGUUAGCGGCGGACGGGUGAGUAACACGUGGAUAACCUACCUAUAAGACUGGGAUAACUUCGGGAAACCGGAGCUAAUACCGGAUGAUAUUUUGAACCGCAUGGUCCAAAAGUGAAAGACGGUCUUGCUGUCACUUAUAGAUGGAUCCGCGCUGCAUUAGCUAGUUGGUAAGGUAACGGCCUACCAAGGCAACGAUGCAUAGCCGACCUGAGAGGGUGGUCGGCCACACUGGAACUGAGACACGGUCCAGACUCCUACGGGAGGCAGCAGUAGGGAAUCUUCCGCAAUGGGCGAAAACCUGACGGAGCAACGCCGCGUGAGUGAUGAAGGUCUUCGGAUCGUAAAACUCUGUUUUUAGGGAAAAACAUAUGUGUAAGUAACUGUGCACAUCUUGACGGUACCUAAUCAGAAAGCCACGGCUAACUACGUG
rnacentral:rRNA from 1 species